CGUGAUCUACCCUGUAGAUCCGGGCUUUUGUAGUAUAAUUCCUCAUCAGAAGCUCGUCUCUACAGGUAUCUCACGG
rnacentral:pre_miRNA from 1 species